GUGCUUAACACAUGCAAGUCGAACGGAAAGGCCCUUCGGGGUACUCGAGUGGCGAACGGGUGAGUAACACGUGGGUGAUCUGCCCUGCACUUUGGGAUAAGCCUGGGAAACUGGGUCUAAUACCGAAUAGGACCACGCGCUUCAUGGUGUGUGGUGGAAAGCUUUUGCGGUGUGGGAUGGGCCCGCGGCCUAUCAGCUUGUUGGUGGGGUAAUGGCCUACCAAGGCGACGACGGGUAGCCGGCCUGAGAGGGUGACCGGCCACACUGGGACUGAGAUACGGCCCAGACUCCUACGGGAGGCAGCAGUGGGGAAUAUUGCACAAUGGGCGCAAGCCUGAUGCAGCGACGCCGCGUGAGGGAUGACGGCCUUCGGGUUGUAAACCUCUUUCAAUAGGGACGAAGCGCAAGUGACGGUACCUAUAGAAGAAGCACCGGCCAACUACGUGCCAGCAGCCGCGGUAAUACGUAGGGUNCGAGCGUUGUCCGGAAUUACUGGGCGUAAAGAGCUCGUAGGUGGUUUGUCGCGUUGUUCGUGAAAUC
rnacentral:rRNA from 1 species